rnacentral:rRNA from 1 species
AUUGAACGCUGGCGGCAGGCUUAACACAUGCAAGUCGAGCGGGGAAAUAUAGCUUGCUAUAUGACCUAGCGGCGGACGGGUGAGUAAUGCUUAGGAAUCUGCCUAUUAGCGGGGGACAACAUUUCGAAAGGGAUGCUAAUACCGCAUACGCCCUACGGGGGAAAGCAGGGGAUCAUUUGACCUUGCGCUAAUAGAUGAGCCUAAGUCGGAUUAGCUAGUUGGUGGGGUAAAGGCCUACCAAGGCGACGAUCUGUAGCGGGUCUGAGAGGAUGAACCGCCACACUGGGACUGAGACACGGCCCAGACUCCUACGGGAGGCAGCAGUGGGGAAUAUUGGACAAUGGGGGGAACCCUGAUCCAGCCAUGCCGCGUGUGUGAAGAAGGCCUUUUGGUUGUAAAGCACUUUAAGCGAGGAGGAGGCUCCUGUAGAUAAUACCUACAGUGAGUGGACGUUACUCGCAGAAUAAGCACCGGCUAACUCUGUGCCAGCCGCCGCCGUAAAAC